GCUUGGUAGAAGGGAAACAGGAUGCCGUAGAGUCACAAGAUGGACUUAGAUGCAAAGACUUCAUAAUUUGAGUUUAUGAACAUUUAAAAUGCACUGCUUUUUGGAGUGUCUUGGAAAUGAGGACAGAGUUGUGUGCAGCAGAAAACCAGAGCAUGAGUUUGUUGUUCCCUUGGGUAAAUUGGAGGCAAUUUCUGUGCAGUUACCAAACGGGAUGCUUUAAAGGCUUCUCAGUAUUCCUUAGGCUAUAAAAUGUAAACACAACUGAGGAAGUUAUCAGUGUUAUCAAUUUCAAAUGGAAAGUGAGGACUGCUGAACUGAUACGUCAUGCGCAAAGUACCAGGACCCUUUUGGACAAAGCAAGUAUGACUUGGACCUUGCAUGUGACUUGAACUGGGCAUUGCUUCAACUGCAUUUGAUAAUUAUAACAAGAUGGAAACAACUGCUGUUAAUGAGGUGCAUGGGGAAAAUUAACAAUUUAGAAAACACCGAGACUGCACUACUGUACUUCCUACACUAGAAUGCGUGAGGUAAGUUAUAACAAAUAUCCAUGGGAGAAAAAGUCAGUUUGACAUAUGAUAACAAAAGGCACCUUUACAAAAGCAAAGCUCUCCAAAGCAGAGACUCAUGGAUAUGUUAAUACAAUCAAAAACACUAACUCCUGAAGAUGAAGAAGGCUCUGGAGGUGUUCAAGAACUGUGGAGAUGUUGCACUGAGGGACUUUGUUAGUGGGUAUAGUGGGGAUGGGUUGGUGGUUGGACUUGGUGAUUUUAGUGGCUUUUUCCAACCUUAAUGAUUCAGUGAUUCUAAAGAAUGGGUGAGAGAAGAGGUUUGGGGAAUUGAGAGUGGGAAAGGCUGAUAUUAUUUCUAGAUAUGGCUAAAAAAUUUUGAGGCUAACGAGCUGCCAUCCUACAGGAUUUACUCAUGGCAAACAUUUCUAAAUCAUGACCAAAACAGAAGUAACAGUUGAAUGUCUCUCAUAGUAUUUUGAGCCCAAAUGUGUUGAGGGAAAUAAUCUGCACAACAACUGUGUGCUAGAGGAAAUUAAAUGGCAAAACUUUUUUUUUUUUUUUAAAUACCACUUCAGUUUCAGAAGACGUGAUGUUUUAGUAGGAGUUAGUAAAUA
rnacentral:lncRNA from 1 species